AUGCUGUACUCUCUCCUUGCCUUUCUCCUGGGCAUGUUCUUGGGUGUUAGUGCUCAGACUAUCCAUCAAUGGCCAGUUGCCGAGAUCAAGGCUGUGGGCAGCCCACUGUCUCUGGGGUGUACCAUAAAGGGGAAAUCAAGCCCUAACCUCUACUGGUACUGGCAGGCCACAGGAGGCACCCUCCAGCAACUCUUCUACUCUAUUACUGUUGGCCAGGUAGAGUCGGUGGUGCAACUGAACCUCUCAGCUUCCAGGCCGAAGGACGACCAAUUCAUCCUAAGCACGGAGAAGCUGCUUCUCAGCCACUCUGGCUUCUACCUCUGUGCCUGGAGUCU